rnacentral:rRNA from 1 species
UUUAAGCCAUGCGANUCAACAUAGCAAUAUGUGGCAUACGGCUCAGUAACACGUAAUCAACAUGCCCAGGGGACNUGGAUAACCUCGGGAAACUGAGGAUAAACCGCGAUAGGUCAUCACUUCUGGAAUGGGUAAUGACUUAAAUCUAUAUGGCCCCUGUAUUGGACUGCGGNCGAUCAGGCUGUUGGUGAGGUAAUGGCCCACCAAACCUGUAACCGGUACGGGCUCUGAGAGGAGGANCCCGGANAUGGGCACUGANACAAGGGCCCAGGCCCUAUGGGGCGCAUCACGCGCNAAACCNCUGCAAUANGCGAAAGCUUGACANGGUUACUCUGANUGAUUUCCGUNNAGGAGAUCUUUUGGCACCNCUAAAAAUGGUGNACAAUAAGGGGUGGGCAAGUCUGGUGUCCANCCGCCNCGGUNNUCNGA